UCAAGUGGAGAGACACCUGAUUUACCUCUGAAAAGGAUCAUUCUGGUUGCUCUGGGGACCACAUUGUGGCAGAGCAAGACUGGAAGCAGGGAGACCAAUUAGGAGGCUACUUCAAGAAUCUAGGAAAGAAAUCAUAGUUCUUUGAACCAAGGUGGAGACGAAAGAGGAUGGUUCCAGUAUUUGUUUAGAGGCAGAAUUGCACCUGGAAUAGCUGUGUUUCCCCUGUUUAUUAUCCCCAUUUGUUUUGUCUUCUGGAUACCUAAUGGAACUGACAGUAUUUCUCUUGGCCAUGAGGAAGCUUAGACCUAUGUAUGUGGCCUCCUUCUGGUCUGUAUAUGGAAUAAACAGAAUGCACUUUACAUGCUUAA